rnacentral:rRNA from 1 species
GACAGAGGGUGCAAACGUUGUUCGGAAUUACUGGGCGUAAAGCGCGUGUAGGCGGUCGGGCAAGUCGGAUGUGAAAGCCCAGGGCUCAACCCUGGAAGUGCACUCGAUACUGCUCGGCUAGAGUCCCGGAGAGGAUGGUGGAACUCUCGGUGUAGAGGUGAAAUUCGUAGAUAUCGAGAAGAACACCGGUGGCGAAGGCGGCCAUCUGGACGGUGACUGACGCUGAGACGCGAAAGCGUGGGGAGCAAACAGGG